CCCUAAUUUUUCCCCUUUCCCCAGCCCUGAAGCACGCAGCCCCCACCCCUUCCUUCCAAAACACAAUACACACAAAACAGAGAAAGAAACGUAGAGAUAGAGAGGAAGAAGAGAGCUCAGAAUCGGAGAGGAAGGGACGGCACUACGGCUAGGGCUCGCCACCGCCGCAGUCGCCGUCACGCCUUGCUGUCGUCGCGGUCGCCGUCGCGCCUUGCUACCGUCGCAGUCACCGUCGCGUCUGGCUGCUGUCAGGUUCGGCAUCAUCGUUCUGCCGGCAUCAAGCCUGUUCUGCCGCCUGAGAAGAAUUGCGAGGAGGAGAGAGCACACGUGAAGGGCAACGCCGUCACGAAACCAUCGCCGCCGUCGUCAUGCUCCGCUGCUGCCGCGUCUCACCAAGCAGUCACCGUCGUGCUUCCUGGUCGCCGUCGAAGAAGCUGUCGUUCGGAAGGAGGCAUGGCUGUCGCUGAAUAGAACACGAUGGUAGUGAGAGGAUGCCACCGCUGUUGACGCCGGAGCUCGACAGGGACUGCAGCGCCGUGGCCGAGCUAUUGGGUUGCCGCAGCUGCUGUCGGGAAGGUCAUUGGGGUUUGUCGAGGAUACUGUUCUGGUUCUGAAGCAAUUCAUUCAUGUCACUGCUCAUCUUUGUCCUCUGUGUCCUCUGUUCCGCCUCUGCUUCUAGUUUCUAGAAUCUGAGAAGACGCUACUGCCACUACUGGAACUGUUGGUUUUGCUUCUCUGGCCUUGUUCUGGCUCCACUGUAAACCGUUACCGCCACUGGAGCUGCCCGAAAACCCUGUUGUUGCUACUCCGUUAUUUUAUUAGUGAAGAGUGAUCAGAAAUAAUGCUGCUGCUGUUGACCGGAGGUGCUAAACUGUUGCCGCUACUACUUUGGGAUGAUAUGGCUGCUAUUAAAGUUGUUGUUGAUGAGUGCAGCAUUCCCAAUUUCUAUGGAUUUCGACUGACUGAGUGACUCAGGUUUGAAGACACAAUUUGAAGCUGCGAGCGAUUAGUAGGCUUUCUUUAUGGUUUUAAUUGCUUUCAUAGAAUUCCCUCGCUGUUGUAGCUUUAGUUUUUUUUAUUUUACACAGAGGGAUAGGAUCUCAUUUGGUUUCUUUUGUAUAAGAAUUAUUAUCAAUAAUAUUUAUGUGAUUACUAUUGUUUGUUGGAAACCUUUGAUACAUGUCUUUGAUGAACAAAAACAAAAUUUUCUGGUAUUUUUACUAAAAUUGAAUCGCGAUAUCGAACUAGAGGCUCAAUAGUAAAUAGUUAAUAAAGGAAAGCAGGUUGGUAACGCCUUACUUUUGGUACGAUCAUGACGUUCUAGAAGUUGGGUCGUUACAGAGACUAUGGAGUAUGUAGUUAGUUUAUGAUCUUGAUAUGCUUGUUGAUUUAAUUUUGGCGCGGGAAAGGUCGGAAAUGUUGGGGAUCGUGUUUGUAUAGCAGUCAAAAUUAAAUCUUUUUUGUCCCUUUCCGUGUGGACCAUGUGCAUGCAACGUGACGUAUACAGGCUGAGCAUUGUUGAAAAUGGGUUGAUAUUUGUUGGAUGGUUACUUUAAUAGAAUGUUGGAUGGUUACUUUAAUAGUAUAUUGGAUGGUCAUUCUUCAAAUUUUUUUCUAGUGUCGUCAAUUUCUAAUUAUUGAUGUGUUCCUAGUGCCACUGCAACCAAAGAAUUAGCUGAAACUAUUGUU